UUUUUGAAAAAAAGAAAAGAAAAUGAAAAAGAAUGCUCAUAUAAUAACACUAUUUGCAUAUGCAAACUUAAAACAUGGUAAACCUAGAGGUGAUUUGUUCUUUGACACUUUUGAUUGAAGCACCUUCCUUCGUAAUGUGGUAGGUAGGGUUGAGCAUAAAAUUCGAAAAACCGUAUACACCGACCUUCCGAACACCGAAAAAAUCAAAACCGAUUAAACCGAACACCGAAAAAAUCGCUAACAGUGCAAACCGCCACUGUUCGGUCGGUUUGAAAAUUUUGUCCGGACUGACUGGCGAAAUCGAAACCAACCGAACAAUAUAAUAUAUAAUAAUAUAAUAAUAUAAUAUUAUAUAAUUAUUAAUUAUUAAAAUUAUUAAAUAAAAAUAAAAAAAUAUGAAAUUAUAUUCUAUAUAUUUAUGUUUUAAAAAUGCACAAAAAUAGAUUCCAACAAUUCAAAAAUUUUAGUUUUUUAACUAAAACUUAAAAAAAAAAAAAAAAUCGGUUUGGUCGGUUUAACUGACCAAACCGCGGUCCAAAACGGUCGGUUUUUUCUUUUAACUAGUUUAGUCGGUCGGUUUUUGAAUUGCAUAAAUCCGGACCGAAAACUGAAUUCUGAAUUUUAUGUUAUGAAAAAACCGCCCAAACCGAUCGAUGCUCACAACUUAUUAGAAUUUUAAUAAUAAACAUAUGUAAAUUUUCUUUUAUUGGUAAAACGUAUUAGUUAGAAGUAUCUUUUGUGAACAUUUAAACACUUAAUAUAAGACUAUUUUAUUAAUGGGUAAAUACUAUUCAAGUCCUUGUACAAAAAUAUUUGAUUGAAUUUUUGUUUUUGUUAAAUAACAUUGAGAUCAUGUCUUAUACAAUGGAUGUAUCUUGGACUUGAUUUUGGUAAAAAUAAUAAGUCAAAAUACCAAAAUUUUUUAUAAAUUACUUAAUUUAAUAAAAAGAAAAAUAACUAAAAACCCUAAUUAAAAAUUUAAAAAAAUAAAGAACUCUAAACUCGUUCCCCUCUCUCUCUCCACCCCACAACCUCUCAUGGCUGAACUACCUAUGACUUCUAAAAAGCUUUCUUUUCUGUUUUCGUUUUCCUAUUUGGGUUUGAUAUGGGGAACAAAAUCGAUUAUGAUCCAACAGUGAUGCCCAACCCCAUGUCGGAAUUGAAGGAGCUUCAAAGACUCGUGAACAUCAUCGUCAAAGAUGAGGAUUAUAGCACUGAAACCAUCGAUCUCUACCUUCGCUCUAAGGUCGUCUCGGGGAGAAGUGUUUCUUCAAGCGGGAGAGAGACUAAUAGAUCUAAAAUGGGGGUGGGUGAAGUGUGGCCAACGAAGAUUUCUGGGUUUAGUGCCUGAUCUGAAAUAGGGGUAAGGGAACCACACAAGGUAUGGCACUCAAAUUGUGGUGAGUUUUUCAUACUGUGGGUGAACUAUGACAGUAGUCGAUGGUGGGGUGGGGGGAUGAAGGGAGAUAUCAAAAGAUAGAGGAGAGAGAUAGGGAGGGAGGAGAGUGAUCAGUGGAUAGAUUAGAGAUUGAGAGAAUAUAAAAAUUAAAUAAAAGUUAUUUAUUUAUUUUUUAAUUUGUAAUUAAUUAAGUUUUUAAUUUUUUUAUUUUUGAAAUAGUUUUAUAUUUUCAUUAGGGAUUUUAGUUAUUUUUCUUUUUACUUGACUAAGUAAUUUAUAAAGAAGGGUAAUUUGGUCAUAUUGAAAAUAAUUUUGACUAAAAUCAGGUCGAUGAUACUAUUUUGAUCCGUUUUGCAAAACCAAGUUCUGAAUUUUUAUUUAACAAAACAAAGGUCCCGUUGAGUAUUUUCGCAUAACCGAGAGGCCAAAAUGAUGUUUAACAUUUAUUGUAUUGUAUUUUAAAUAACAUAGAAAUGAACUUAAAAGAAAUAUUUGAUCAUUUUAUUUGAAACUUGAUUAACUUGUAUGCUUCCUUUAACCCUGUAAAUUAAAAAAAAAAAAAAAGGCUUAUUUAAAUGUUAGGAGAAAAAAAUCAUUAGUGGUGGUGGGUGUUUGGUUACAUUUGUAGCAUAAAAUUGCACUAUCCCAAAUCUAAAGAAGAAAAAUCAUAUAUACCAGCAAUAUUAUCAAUUGGAACGACCAAUUUAUUGUUUCUUACAAAACUACUUUUGUAUGCCAUAGAAAAUACCUAAUUACCCAUAACUAAACCUAACAAAAAUGUUCUUCCCUUUAUUAUUCCUCAAAUAAAAAGAUCAAAAUUAAAUAAACAAAUGGAAGAAGGUUGGAAGUUGUGGGACAAAGGUCAGUCUGUAACGACCUAAUUUACUAAUAAGGUUUAAGGGCCUUGAUUAGUGUGCCGGGAUGACAUAACUGACUUAUUUGUGAUUUAAUGAUUAAAAGCAUGUUAUAUGAUUAUUUGAAUAUCUGAGAUGCAUGACUAUGUGUAUUAAUAUGCAUGUAGGCCCUAAUUAGGUUAGAAGGGCAAAUCGUAAUUUUGGCCCGUUGAGGGCAUAACUGUAUAUAUAUAUAUGUGAUGAAUUGUUGAGACCACAUUAUUAUGUGAAUAUAUUUGUAAUCUGUGAUUCGAGGUGAUCCUAGUGAACGGUUUAGCAAAAAAGUCACGGUGGGGAUUUAUACCCAGCUCGGGGCGAGCCUGGGGGUAUUUAUGGGAAUUUAGAGAAUAAAAUUGGUGAUUGGUUAGGUGUCAGGAAGUAAGCGGUAAAUAUUAGAGACACUCGAAAAAUUAGCGGGAAUUGGGUGUAAUGACCAAAAUGCCCCUAGGUUGAUUUAAAGACUUAGAGAUAAUGGGAGGGUAUUCUGGUCAUUUGUCUUAUAAGGGAUAAGAGUUAAAUUGCUUUAUGCCUUAGUGGAAAGUCUAGAGUCUGAAGGAAGUUAAAGGAAAGAAGAAGAAAAAGAAAAAGAAAGAAGGAAAAUAGAGGCCAUAUCUUCACCCAUUCGGUUUAGGUUUUUACCUCAAUUCCUAAAGGAAUUUGAAGCUGAAACUCAAGGAGAUUCUGGGCAGGAGCUUGGGGCUAUAGUCUUUGGUCUGGCUUGAAGAAAUUAGCAAGAGCAAUCAAUCCAUUUGAGGAAGUUGAGGCUAAGGAUUUGAGGAGGAGAAGGCUAAGCAAGAGUGGGAGACAACCUAGGCUAAGCUCAUCCAGCAAAGGCCUUGGCUCACGGGUGCUACGUGGUGCAGGUAAAGGCAAAGGCAAGUUAGACCCACCCUGAGAUGGAGAGCUGCGGGAUGAAUGUACAUAGUCAGCUGUUCGGCCAUCACGGCUGAGGAGUGGAACAGGACGAGAAAUGCUUAAUUGUCUGUUUUGCCUUAGAGUGGCUAAUCACUGUAUUGAAAACUUGAAUCUUUUGUAAACAGUCUUUAACUUAUUACUCUUGGGAUCCCAUGUAAAAAGAAAAUGUUUAUUUAUAAGAAAUGAAGCUUUUGAGACCAUUCAACUAUAGUUUCAGUAACACGUUUUGAAUUAAAUGACUUGAUUAGCAAGUCUUGCACCUUUAUAAACACACAAUGUAACGGUCUUGGCUAUCCAGGGCGUUACA